rnacentral:rRNA from 1 species
UAUCAAUAAGCGGAGGAAAAGAAACCAACAGGGAUUGCCUCAGUAACGGCGAGUGAAGCGGCAAAAGCUCAAAUUUUAAAUCUGGUGCUCCACAGUACCCGAGUUGUAAUUUGGAGAGGCAACUUCCGACAGAGCUUCAACCUAUGUUCUUUGGAACAAGACGUCACAGAGGGUGAGAAUCCCGUGCAUGGUUGAAGAUUGCUGUUGUAUGUGAAGUGCUUUCAACGAGUCGAGUUGUUUGGGAAUGCAGCUCAAAAUUGGGUGGUAAAUUUCAUCUAAAGCUAAAUAUUGGCGAGAGACCGAUAGCGCACAAGUAGAGUGAUCGAAAGAUGAAAAGCACUUUGAAAAGAGAGUCAAACAGUACGUGAAAUUGUUGAAAGGGAAGCGCUUGUAAUCAGAUCUGGUCGAGAAUGAUCAACCUUUCAUUUUGAGGGGUGCACUCGUUCUUGGAUCAGGCCAACGUCGGUUAACCUUUUGGGUAAAUGGUUGAGGGAAUGUGGCACUCUUAGGGGUGAGCUUAUAGCCUUUGACUAUACCAUGCAGGUUGACCGAGGAACCGCGCCUUCGGGGCUAGGACGUUGGCUUAAUGGUUUUCAGCGACCCGUCUUGAAACACGGACCAAGGAGUCUAACAUCUAUGCGAGUGUUUGGGUGUAAAACCCUUGCGCGUAAUGAAAGUAAAUGUGGGUGGGAACCUUUCCGAGGUGCACCAUCGACCGAUCCUGACGUUUUCAGAUGGAUUUGAGUAGGAGCAUAGCUGUUGGGACCCGAAAGAUGGUGAACUAUGCCUGAAUAGGGUGAAGCCAGAGGAAACUCUGGUGGAGGCUCGCAGCGGUUCUGACGUGCAAAUCGAUCGUCAAAUUUGGGUAUAGGGGCGAAAGACUAAUCGAACCAUCUAGUAGCUGGUUCCUGCCGAA